AGUGAACGCUGGCGGUAGGCCUAACACAUGCAAGUCGAACGGCAGCACAGUAAGAGCUUGCUCUUACGGGUGGCGAGUGGCGGACGGGUGAGGAAUACAUCGGAAUCUACUUUUUCGUGGGGGAUAACGUAGGGAAACUUACGCUAAUACCGCAUACGACCUACGGGUGAAAGCAGGGGAUCUUCGGACCCUGCGCGAUUGAAUGAGCCGAUGUCGGAUUAGCUAGUUGGCGGGGUAAAGGCCCACCAAGGCGACGAUCCGUAGCUGGUCUGAGAGGAUGAUCAGCCACACUGGAAGUGAGACACGGUCCAGACUCCUACGGGAGGCAGCAGUGGGGAAUAUUGGACAAUGGGCGCAAGCCUGAUCCAGCCAUACCGCGUGGGUGAAGAAGGCCUUCGGGUUGUAAAGCCCUUUUGUUGGGAAAGAAAAACAGCAGGUUAAUACCCCGCUGUUCUGACGGUACCCAAAGAAGAAGCACCGGCUAACUUCGUG
rnacentral:rRNA from 1 species